rnacentral:rRNA from 1 species
CUCGUAGGCGGUUUGUCGCGUCGGGAGUGAAAUCAUCUGGCUUAACUGGGUGCUUGCUUUCGAUACGGGCAGACUAGAGGUAUGCAGGGGAGAACGGAAUUCCUGGUGUAGCGGUGAAAUGCGCAGAUAUCAGGAGGAACACCGGUGGCGAAGGCGGUUCUCUGGGCAUGAUCUGACGCUGAGGAGCGAAAGUGUGGGAGCGAACA